GCAUCUGUAGUCCAACGGUAAGGAUAAUUGCCUUCCAAGCAAUAGAUCCGGGUUCGACUCCCGGCAGACGCA
rfam:Triticum aestivum genome assembly, contig: Triticum_aestivum_CS42_TGACv1_scaffold_146161_2BS